CGGUUUUGUCCAAAAAACCGUCUUUGUUAGGUUAAUAUCUCGUUCAUAUAUAUUGGAUAGUACUCAGUACUAUUGCUAACCCGAGAAACCCUAGCUAGCUGCCGCGCGUGCUCCCGCUCUGCCUUUGGUUCCGUUUCCUCCGCGCAGGAAGGCCAGCUCUGUGGCGGUUCUCGUAAGUUGCUGCUUCAACUGCUUCCCGAUGAAAUCUUCCUUUGUCGACCUCUCCAUGGAGAACAAAUCGACGUCUCCCUCGGAACGAGAACGAACGAGAACUAAAUGAAGAGAGGAGUACAUGCCCUGUUUUUUUGUGUUCCGAAAUAGAGGAAUAUGAAGGUGGAACAGUAACCGGCAAGGAAGUAGUUAAAAACAGGGAUUGGGAGAUGAAUGAAAGUGCCCGUCGAUUGAAUUUUUCAUUUUCGUUUUUGUUUGGUUUGAUGCUGAUUUUUUUUUAUUUGUGGUUGCGUUUCUAUUUGGGAUUCGCUGAUUAUACUAAGUAUUUUUAUAGAAUGGUUAGGUAGAGAUUUUCCUUCGUUGAUAUUAUUGUGAUUAAUUGUGCUUGGAAGGUUGUGCAGAUCUAAUUCCAAAGCUGGAAGGUUGUGCCAUGUGCACUUGUGCAGUUUUGAUUUGAUCCUAGCAUGUUAUACAUGGAUAGGGACGAUUCUGCAAUACCCCUUAAUACCUCAAUUAGAUACUCAUAUUUUCAGGUUACAUCCACGCACUAUACCAUAGAGGCCCAAAAGGAGCAUUACAAAUUCAAGAAACUGGAGAAUUAUAUGGUUUUGCCAAAUAUGGCUUCAAUAAAAGAUACCAAUGCCAUUUCAUACAAUCUUUGUGGUUUGGUUAGGAUGGCUAGUGGUGAUCUGAAAGUGAAGAGUUUCUCCGCCGUGGUGGGACCUAACGGGAGCGGGAAGAGCAACGUCAUCGAUGCGAUGCUGUUUGUGUUCGGGAAGCGAGCCAAGCAGAUGCGGCUGAACAAAGUUUCGGAGUUAAUACACAAUUCCACCAAUCACCAGAAUUUGGAUAGUGCAGGGGUUUCAGUUCAUUUUCAAGAGAUUGUGGAUUCGGGAACCAGGUAAACUUGGGAACCACACGAGAUCAAAUUAUGUCCGAGAGAAAAAGGAGACAGCUAAUGGCUGAGAGAUUCAUAGCGUUUUCAUCUAUUAUACCUGGCUUGAAGGUACUGUCAUCUAAAUUUCAAGUCUGCAUUGUAUUAGAUGUGUUGUUGUUGCUGGAUGUAUUGGUUACAUAUUAGUGUUAUCUAUAAAUUGAAUGAUUUUAUAUGUCUACA